UCAGGUUAAGCGGAAGUCAGUCUUCCUCUCUGUGUUUCUCUUCAGAGGGCACACAAAGUCAGGAAGGCCAUCUGUGGCAAGCUUCCCGGCACCAGGUACCCCCCUCUCAGAGCUGCCCAGAAGGAGCCAGACCACCGAUGACAGCAGCUCUCCACAUGGGCCAAACAGAUGCCAGCAGAGAGCCGUGGAAGCUGGUCCAAACCGAGGCAAGACACAGAAGAAUAUGCUGCACAGAGGAAGGCGCUUAGGCUCACUAACUCGGAAUUCAUUCAUCUGCUGAGUCCUUACCAUGUGCCAGACAUUUGCCCAGGCACUUGGGGUCUGUCCCUGACCUUACAGAGCUCACAUUCUCAUAGAGGGACAUGGGUGAGAAGUAAUAACCUUAUAAAUAAGUGAGCUACAUGCUCUCUCAGAAGGAUUGUGCCAGCUGCCACGUCAAGACUAGACCUGAGCAUACAUGAGAAAUUGCCAUAUACCAGAAACAAUGUGUGACAUGGAG